AAACACCUGGGUUCAAAUCUUAGGCCUGGCAAGAGACUGAAGUUCCUUGACCUCAAGGCCUUUGUGUGUACAAUGGAAAAGCCCACAGCAUCCACUGACCUCAGAGCUGCUGUCGGUACUGGAAACCACAGGCGUUUGGAGAAGAAGAAUGCAUCACAGCCCGUUGAUUCUCCACAGUCCCUUGCAUCACAGUCUGUUGAUUCUCCUCGGUCCCUAAGACAACGCCUUGCAAGCAGCAAGCCCCUCGAUGUUGCUUACGGGAGACGUGUGCGUGUGUGCGGGAGGGUGCCCAAGCUGGUGCUGUGCACGCCAAUGGCAAUCCCAUCUUGAGGAAAAUCUAUGACUAGUAAAUACUUCACGAAAUCGGGAAUUAUUU
rnacentral:lncRNA from 1 species